AAAUGCGAUAAGUAAUGUGAAUUGCAGAAUUCAGUGAAUCAUCGAAUCUUUGAACGCACCUUGCGCUCCUUGGUAUUCCUUGGAGCAUGCCUGUUUGAGUAUCAUGAAAUCUUCAAAGUAAAUCUUUUGUUAACUCAAUUGGUUUCUACUUUGGUAUUGGAGGUCUUUGCAGCUUCACAUCUGCUCCUCUUUGUUCAUUAGCUGGAUCUCAGUGUUAUGCUUGGUUCCACUCGGCGUGAUAAGUUAUCUAUCGCUGAGGACACUGUAAAAGGUGGCCAAGGUAAAUGCAGAUGAACCGCUUCUAAUAGUCCAUUGACUUGGACAAUACUUUUAUGAUCUGAUCUCAAAUCAGGUAGGACUACCCGCUGAACUUAAGC
rnacentral:misc_RNA from 1 species